AUCAGCCAACUUCCUGACCCGGUCAAGACAGAGAUCUACAAUUUCCUUUCCAACUGUGUAGUGUCCGCGGGCAAAAUUAUUAGCAGCAUCUUCUUUUCCAGAUAUCAAUUGCUCCGGAUGAAAGAGCUGCCGGUAGGCUCCAGUUCUAACUUCAUCAAUCACCGUUGGUUCUAAAUCAACAAAUAUAGCCCGAGGCACAUGCUUGCCUGAACCGGUCUCGCUAAAAAACGUAUUAAAAGCGUCGUGUGCUACACCUUCGGAGGUAUCACUGGGCAUCAUACCAUCGGGCUGAAUGCCAUGUUCGAGGCAA
rnacentral:misc_RNA from 1 species